rnacentral:rRNA from 1 species
AGCGAACGCUGGCGGCAGGCCUAACACAUGCAAGUCGAACGGAUCCUUCGGGAUUAGUGGCGGACGGGUGAGUAACACGUGGGAACGUGCCCUUUGGUUCGGAACAACUCAGGGAAACUGGAGCUAAGAACGGAUGUGCCCUUCGGGGGAAAGAUUCAUCGCCAUUGGAGCGGCCCGCGUCUGAUUAGCUAGUUGGUGAGGUAAAGGCUCACCAAGGCGACGAUCAGUAGCUGGUCUGAGAGGAUGAUCAGCCACAUUGGGACUGAGACACGGCCCAAACUCCUACGGGAGGCAGCAGUGGGGAAUCCUGCGCAAUGGGCGAAAGCCUGACGCAGCCAUGCCGCGUGAAUGAUGAAGGUCUUAGGAUUGUAAAAUUCUUUCACCGGGGACGAUAAUGACGGUACCCGGAGAAGAAGCCCCGGCUAACUUCGUGCCAGCCGCCGCGGUAACAC